CUCCUCCCUCUCAGUUCCAGGAAAGUCCUCAGGGACUCACACAUGUGCCACAAGGACACCCGCAGCCACAGCGGCCCACAGACUCCUGCCUGCUCCUUUGAACCUGCUGGGCAGGGCCCAGGGACUCUCGGCCGCACUCUGCCCCGGGGCAGGCUUGGCUGCGAGUCUCUCUGCGCCUGGUGUCUCCACGCGUGUCCCCCCUGGCUCUCCAAGCCAUCGGCCCCCGCACGGGCCUCUUCCUGCACCAGCCUCUGUGUAAUAACCGCCCUUCCGUGCCUCCACACAUCUUGCGCUGCCUUUCAAGGCCCACUGCGCAGGAACCUGGCUGCUUUCCCUGUCAGGAACUUCUAGCCCGUCUGGAGUUACAGACCGCAGCACUCAAUAAAGAAGGAUUAAUACCAACGCUCUGCUUAGUCAUGGCACCCAGAAAGCUGAAAACUUGAUGACUCCAGUGUAUUGAGGUGAAAUAAAACUGUCCCCCAGGCUAACGUGGACGAUAGAAGGCGACCCUCUGAACUGCCUUUGGGAGAAGAGGUUUUGAGACAACGUUUCACUACUAAGCACAGAAGAAACCAAACAGAUUUCUGCAACCAUCAGGGAGGGAGCUGCAGCUGCUGAUUUUAUGAAAUGACAGCAGAUGAGGUUGAGAGCAGUACAGGUAAGAGUCAGGUGAUUAACACAGAAUCUCUGAGAGGCUGGAGGGGGCUCCUGGAAGGAUUAAUGCUGCCCGGGGGGAGGCAGGCAGUUACCUUUCGGCUGAGGCUUCCAGCAAACUGUCAAAGCCAUCAAGCCCCAGAGGUGGAGCUGCCGCCACCCACAGGUUCCACCGUGGGGAACAUGGCAUUGCCCUUCGCCUCUUAGAACCGGCACUGAGCUUUGUGCAAUUAAGGAUGGAGGUGGGGAGCAAUCAAUCCCCUGCUUUCCACAGCUACACUAACCUUUCAGUUUGUUUACAUGCAUAAUGUAGCUCUUAUUCAGAUAUAUGCUUUAAUGCUAUGGAAUGUACCCCUGAUAGUAACAUUGUGAGUGCAAUCAAUAUUUGAUGUCUG